CCACGGGAGGCAGCAGUGGGGAAUAUUGGACAAUGGGCGAAAGCCUGAUCCAGCCAUGCCGCGUGUGUGAAGAAGGCCUUCGGGUUGUAAAGCACUUUCAGUGGGGAAGAAAGCCUUGGGGCUAAUACCCUCGAGGAAGGACAUCACCCACAGAAGAAGCACCGGCUAACUCCGUGCCAGCAGCCGCGGUAAUACGGAGGGUGCGAGCGUUAAUCGGAAUUACUGGGCGUAAAGCGCGCGUAGGCGGUCUGAUAAGCCGGUUGUGAAAGCCCCGGGCUCAACCUGGGAACGGCAUCCGGAACUGUCAGGCUAGAGUGCAGGAGAGGAAGGUAGAAUUCCCGGUGUAGCGGUGAAAUGCGUAGAGAUCGGGAGGAAUACCAGUGGCGAAGGCGGCCUUCUGGACUGACACUGACGCUGAGGUGCGAAAGCGUGGGUAGCAAACAGGAUUAGAUACCCGAGAGC
rnacentral:rRNA from 1 species